CAGCCAGUGUCUUUGUUUGACACAUGAGACCAAACUGACAGCCAGUCACUCCCACACAUUCACCCUGGGGUACUGGGAUCUAUUCUUCUCAUGCCUCAGGCAAACUUUUAUCCAGCAGGCAUCCAGGGCAUUUGCAACAAGAUGGGGCACAGGGUGCAUUUUGCAGUUUGAUUUUUGCACUCAGUGAGUGCAAGAGUCACAUGUCCUCCAGAAGAGAAGGAAUAUGAGCAGACCAUGCAACCUGCUGGCCGUGGCUCUGGGCAGGGAGACUGGAACUGGGUGGUGGGAGUCUCGGCUCCAUCAGAAGCACAAGGAUUAAUACAGAAGCUGUCUGGAGUGUGAAACAAAGGCACUGAGAAAAAUCAGGCCAGGAUAUCUCUACAUUCAGGAAAUGUCCAGGAAUGUCAGUGGGCGCCAUUUUUCUGCGCAGAGAAAUUCAGAGACACACCUUUUCUUCAUACUCACUUCCAUGUCAGAAGCUAUUUUGCCAUCUGUUAUACAGCAACAAAAUGUAAUGGAACUUUAGUGGACUAGUAAUGAGAGUGGCAUGCUCCUCUGGGAAGUUAUUACCUACAAAGAAGAAAGAGCUAUUUCUAGUGCUGGAACCUGGUCAAUGCAUCUCUCACCACACCCUUUACUGGCAAUCAUUUACACUCAUCUCUUACACCCUUUCAAAGGGCACUGAACAACCCAGGGCAUAGAUGGAUACAGAGGCUGUGGCUUUUGCUAUGCUGCAGCAUUUGCCAAGACUAUGAAGAGUUCGAUAGGCCUAAGAAAGAAACAGAACAACCUUUCAAGAGAAACCCAAGGAGAACAGAGGACAUGGCCAGGAGAGACUUAUGUGGAAGAGCCUGGGCAGCCUGACCCUACCUCUCCAGCCUGCACACCACCUCUUUAUGAGCCAUCCCCUGUCUGUGCUGAACACUGAUGGGAGUUGUUCUGCCUUCACCCUCAAUAGUGUAAAUCAGUUAUCAGACUGAUCUGUGCAAUAACAUCAAACUAAAACCUACAAGGGAUCUGGCAGUGUUAUUGGUGAAAAACUGCUCAGUUUAUAUCUUGAAUCCUUCUCAAAACAAGUUAUCCUUGCUUGUGUAGAAGUAACAUAUUUUAGAACAUCUUUGGUAUAUUUUGUCUUUUCUGCAGGCUUUUGUAAAAUUAUUUUGUUAAAUAUCAGUUUGGAUUAUUUCCUUCCAUUUGCUGUGUAGUCCCUCACGCUCCUUGCUUCAAACAUUUGUUUGCAGCUUGCCUGUUCUUUUUUGAGGUUUCAGUUUUCUUCAACUUGCUCCUUUGAAUAAUUCAAUCCACUGAACGGGAUCUGCUUUCCUUCAGAGCUUUCAAUCAGCAAGUGAUGUUCACCACUUAUGCUCUAAUUGCCUUUCCCAAAUUGAAGUUAGAAUCUUUUCUGCAAUCUUGUUAUUUCUUUUGGCUCUCUGUUACAAUUUUUACCUCAAAUUAAGGAUUCCAUAAGCCCUCCAAAUGGCACAGUUGAUUCAACAGUCACAACUCUGUUCUCAAAACCUCAACAGUCUUUUUUUUUUUCCCGUCUUUUUGAGUUCUCAUGUGAUAUUUUUGUCAUCAUCACAAGAUCUCACAAAAAUUUUUUCUUCAUCUAGAAGAAUGACGUUUUUCAGCUGUCUUGAUCACAAUCUCAUCUCCAGCUUGCUCUGAAUUUAUAUGCAUGUUAUCAAAUGAGGUUUCUGCUUCUCUCAUUGAAAAUCUAUCUUUGAUUUCCUUAGUCUUAGCAAAGACCCUAAUACUAUAAAUGCAGUAUGUCAUGAGAAAACCUUAUACAGCUAGAGCAGACUGGAAACCAAAGCUGUUGAUCGUACACUAAUAAAGUGAGUAAGGGUCACGAAUUAAAUGUUAACAUUGAGACUGCAA